GGGUAAAAAACAAUACGAAGGCCGUUCGCGGCUGGACUAUUUUAUUACCCUUGUCUUUUGCGCACUUGUUGUUUCCUGGGCGGGUUCGCUCGCCACCAGGACCACCAAAUAAACCUUUUUUAUGCAGUUGCAAUCAGCGUCAGUAUAACAAAUGUAAAUCAUUUACAACUUUCAACAACGGAUCUCUUGGUUCUGGCAUCGAUGAAGAACGCAGCGAAAUGCGAUACGUAGUGUGAAUUGCAGAAUUCAGUGAAUCAUCGAAUCUUUGAACGCACAUUGCGCCCUUUGGUAUUCCAAAGGGCAUGCCUGUUCGAGCGUCAUUUGUACCCUCAAGCUUUGCUUGGUGUUGGGCGUUUUUUGUCUUUGGCUCGCCCAAAGACUCGCCUUAAAACGAUUGGCAGCCGGCCUACUGGUUUCGCAGCGCAGCACAUUUUUGCGCUUGCAAUCAGCAAAAGAGGACGGCAAUCCAUCAAGACUCCUUCUCACGUUUGACCUCGGAUCAGGUAGGGAUACCCGCUGAACUUAAGCAUAUCAAUAAGCGGAGGAAAACGGUGGGCCCCCGCACCCUUUCUUUCUUUAUUUUUUAUCUCCUCAUUUUUCAUUCUUUAUUUAUAAUUUUAUUAU
rnacentral:misc_RNA from 1 species